UGGGAAAUCGCGGCUACACAUGCAGUCGAGGGGCAGCACGAAUUAGUUUACUAAUUUGGUGGCGACCGGCGCACGGGUGCGUAACGCGUAUGCAACCUACCUUAUACAGGGGAAUAGCCCGAAGAAAUUCGGAUUAAUGCCCCAUAGUAUCAUUAGAUGGCAUCGUUUGAUGAUUAAAGUUUCGGCGGUAUAAGAUGGGCAUGCGUCCUAUUAGCUAGAUGGUAAGGUAACGGCUUACCAUGGCUACGAUAGGUAGGGGGCCUGAGAGGGUAGUCCCCCACACUGGUACUGAGACACGGACCAGACUCCUACGGGAGGCAGCAGUGAGGAAUAUUGGUCAAUGGUCGGAAGACUGAACCAGCCAUGCCGCGUGAAGGAAGAAGGAUCUAUGGUUUGUAAACUUCUUUUAUUUGGGAAUAAACCUCUCUACGUGUAGAGAGCUGAAGGUACCAAAUGAAUAAGCACCGGCUAACUCCGUGCCAGCAGCCGCGGUAAUACGGAGGGUGCAAGCGUUAUCCGGAAUCAUUGGGUUUAAAGGGUCCGCAGGCGGGAAUGUAAGUCAGAGGUGAAAUCCUACAGCUCAACUGUAGAACUGCCUUUGAUACUGCGUUUCUUGAAUUCGAUCGAAGUGGGCGGAAUAUGACAUGUAGCGGUGAAAUGCAUAGAUAUGUCAUAGAACACCGAUAGCGAAGGCAGCUCACUAGGUCUGAAUUGACGCUCAUGGACGAAAGCGUGGGGAGCAAACAGGAUUAGAUACCCUGGUAGUCCACGCCGUAAACUAUGAUUACUCGUUAUUGGCGAUAUACAGUCAGUGACUAAGCGAAAGUGAUAAGUAAUCCACCUGGGGAGUACGAUCGCAAGGUUGAAACUCAAAGGAAUUGACGGGGGCCCGCACAAGCGGUGGAGCAUGUGGUUUAAUUCGAUGAUACGCGAGGAACCUUACCAGGCUUAAAUGUAGAGUGACAGGUCUAGAGAUAGAUUUUUCUUCGGACACUUUACAAGGUGCUGCAUGGUUGUCGUCAGCUCGUGCCGUGAAGUGUCAAGUUAAGUCCUAAUAACGAGCGCAACCUUGUCGUUAGUUGCCAGCAAGUAAAGUGGGGACUCUAGCGAAGAACUGCGUGCAACCGAGAAGGAAGUGGGAUGACGUCAAUCAUCACGUCCUACGUCUGGCUAAACAACGUGCUACAAAUGAUUGACAAUGGAGAGCAGCCACCUACCGCCGAGAU
rnacentral:rRNA from 1 species